rnacentral:rRNA from 9 species
GCGACCCCAGGUCAGGCGGGGCCACCCGCCGAGUUUAA